CAAUAUCUCUCCAUCAACAUCUAUGCAGAUCUUCUUCAAGCUACAAAAUCACAAUUCCAAUUUCAAUAAUCGAGAAUCCAAAAUCAAAAGGAAAAGAUUUGAUAAAAAAACAAAAUGCCUUCUCGACGAGUUUAGGAUCGAGAUUUUUGUCGGCGACGAGAGUAGCGUGGAGACGACGGAUUGAUGAAUCAACGGCUGAGGCGUUUUGACGGAGAGAUAGCUCUUGUUGAUUGAUUUUGUGAUGAUGAGAUCGGAUUUGGAUUUGUGGAGAUGAAAUUUUUUUGUUCUAAAAGAAGAAGAAAUGGUUUGAAUCUGUUUUUUUUUUUUUUAACAAUUUAAGAACCUUGAAGUUCAACCAAUAAUAACCUAUAUAUUUGAACAUCUUAAUUUACUUUUUUACAAUAUUAAUACACUAUAAAAUCUCUAAGAUACAUUUGAAAGGAUAUACCUUUAAGGAUGCUCUAAAGCUAACGAAGAGUGACGAGAGUUGGAAAGAGGGAGAUGAGAGAACUCAUUUUUGUCUUUACCCAUAUUCUGCCUUACCCCACCUCAUUUUCUAUCUCACACUCUUCUUAUC
rnacentral:lncRNA from 1 species